UACGAAGGGGGCUAGCGUUGUUCGGAAUUACUGGGCGUAAAGCGUGCGCAGGCGGUUAUGCAAGUCAGAUGUGAAAUCCCCGGGCUCAACCUGGGAACUGCAUUUGUGACUGCAUGGCUGGAGUGCGGCAGAGGGGGAUGGAAUUCCGCGUGUAGCAGUGAAAUGCGUAGAUAUGCGGAGGAAUACCGAUGGCGAAGGCAGGUCUCUGGGCUGACACUGACGCUCAUGCACGAAAGCGUGGGGAGCAAACAGG
rnacentral:rRNA from 1 species